UCUAGGCUUGGUUGAGCCGCGCAGGAAGGUCCGAGGCUGGGGGAGCAGCCGUUGGCUCUGGUGCCCCUGGGGGUGGGAGCACGAGUGGGCAAGGAUGAUGGUGAGGCAGAGGAGGCGGCCCCGAGGGAGCGCCCGGCUGAGAGGCGGGGGGCCGAGGGGCCCGGGGAGCGGGCGUCACCGAGGGCCCUGGAAGCGGCAGGGCUGGGGGAGAGGAGACGCGUGUGUGGAGCAUGGGGACCCCAGCCCAGCUCCCACUUGCAGACCUGGGCCGCGGGCUGCCGGCCGAGUGGCCGGGGGGCCUGGCUGCCCAGGAGGCGGGCCGGGGCCGCGGCCGGGGGCGCGGAGCGGAGUUAGGGUCGCCAGGCCGAGCCGAGGUGGGACGGACCGACGCAGAGAGGAAGGGAAGCCACCUGGCCUGAAGAUCCUGUCUCUAAGAUCCCAUUCUGAGGCUUCGAGGGUCUGGCUUGAGCAGCACAGACAGGGACGUGUCUAACCGGGAUGACCAUGAGGUCUCAUCGCAGUUUGCCACUAACCAGGUCCACGCUGCUUUUAUGAGCUGUAACACUCACCGCGAAGAUCUGCAGCUUCACUCCUGAGCCCAGCGAGACCACGAGCCCACCGGGAGGAACAAACAACUCCAGACGCGCUGCCUUAAGAGCUGUAACACUUGCCGUGAAGGUCUGCAGCUUCACUCCUGAGCCAGCGAGACCACGAACCCACCAGAAGGAAGAAACUCCGAACACAUCUCAACAUCAGAACGGACAGACUCCAGACGCACCACCUUAAGAGCUGUAACACUCACCGCGAGGUUCCGCGGCUUCAUUCUUGAAAGCUAUCAGCUUCCCAGUUUGCACAAUUCAUCAAGAAAUUAUGCGGGGUCACUGGCACAAAUGAUGAGGCAUCUCCUGGAAGCUUAACUUCUUAUCCAUCCCAUCUCUUGGACAGAUGAUGCCAGUUAAUUACUUUGAAUGGGUCUGUCACACGCAGCCCAACUCAACUGGAGUCCUGAGAAGGUGAACAGACCAGGAUGGAUGGCCAGGGAACUCACCAGAAGUCCCCAGGCAUCAGAACAAGGUCGAAGCAUCCUGCCAGGUGCUCACCUUCUAGCACAUUCUUCAAGAGUUACUCUGAGGCAAGCCAGCCGCCAUGUCAUGAGGACACUCAAGCAGCACCAUGGAGAGGUCCGAUGGCGAGGAACAGAGGAUCCCCCUGCCGACAGCCAAUGAGGAACAGGCCUCCUGCCAACAGCCGUGUAAGGGGUCACCUUGGAAGCCAAUGGCCCCUCCCUGGUCAGGCUUUUACAUGACUGCAGUCCUGGCCAACAUCCUGACGGCAACCUCAUGAGAGACCUUGAGCCAGAGCCACCCACCUAAGCUGCUUAUAGGUUCCUGGCCCUCAGAAAUCACAUGAGAUCAUAAAUGUUUGCUCAAUUUGAGAUAUUUGUGAUGUAGCAAUAAAUAACAAACACACUUACCUUUCAGGGUUAUUAUGAGAAUUAAGAGUUAAUACACAUCAAACUACAACCAAACUUGCUGGGACCAGAGGCUCAAGAAAGGGCAGACAGGGCCGGGUGCAGUGGCUCAUGCCUGUAAUCCCAAUACUUUGGGAGGCCGAGGCAGGUGGAUCAUCUGAGGUCAGGAGUUCGAGACCAGCUGGCCAACAUGGUGAAACCCUGUGUCUACUAAAAAUACAAAAAUUAGCCAGGCAUGGUGGCGGACACCUGUAAUCCCAGCUACUCGGGAGGCUGAGGCAGGCCUCACUUGAACCUGAGAGCUGGAGGCUGAAGUGAGCAGAGAUCAUGCCACCGCACUCCAGCCUGGGUGACAUAGCGAGACUCCGUCUCAAAAAAAAAAAAAAAAAAAAAAAAAGAAGAAAGGGCAGACAGAAACCACAGAAGGAGGAGUGGUUAGCUAGGUCCAGGCCAGAUGGGGUCCUGCUCCUGACGUGGAUGGUUCUGGGAGACCAAAUAUGCAAAUAGACAAUGGCCAGACCACAUAUUAAAAUAGAACUCUGCCCCCAAACCUACAGCACCAGCCCAGGAAGCCAACGAACAACCCCUGCAGCAAUCAGCCCCAAAUGGCCAGGACUUGAUGGUAACUGACAGCUUCCCUAAUUUUGUUCCCACUUUCAAUGCAGGACAAACCGGAGAAAGCCAAAUAUGCUCCCCUAACCAAUUACUUAGGAUGCCCCUCUUCUAAUGAGCCCAACUGUAGCUUUCCUGCACCACCAACAGGACGUACCUGAAGCCUUCUCCUUUUUCCGCUAUAAAGCCUUCCCCUCGGCCUGCCUUUGAGUCUCCAUGAAAAGCAAGUGACAGUGGCUGCCUCCCUUACUGUAACAAGCUCUGAAUAAACAGCCUUUGCUUG
rnacentral:lncRNA from 1 species